GGCGAACGGGUGAGUAACGCGUGGGUAACCUACCCUAUGGAAAGGAAUAGCCUCGGGAAACUGGGAGUAAUGCCUUAUAAGAUAUAUUUGUCGCAUGGCAGAUGUAUUAAACGCUCCGGUGCCAUAGGAUGGACCCGCGUCCCAUUAGCUAGUUGGUGAGAUAACAGCCCACCAAGGCGACGAUGGGUAACCGGUCUGAGAGGGCGAACGGUCACACUGGAACUGAGACACGGUCCAGACUCCUACGGGAGGCAGCAGUGGGGAAUAUUGCGCAAUGGGGGAAACCCUGACGCAGCAAUACCGCGUGAGUGAAGAAGGUUUUCGGAUCGUAAAGCUCUGUUAUUGGGGAAGAAAAAAAGACGGUACCCAAGAAGAAAGUCCCGGCUAACUACGUGCCAGCAGCCGCGGUAAUACGUAGGGGACAAGCGUUGUCCGGAUUUACUGGGCGUAAAGGGCACGCAGGCGGUUUUUUAAGUCAG
rnacentral:rRNA from 1 species